rnacentral:miRNA from 1 species
UCUGCAGAGAAGUGUCGGAAGAC